GAGGAGGAGGGAAGAAAGGCU
rnacentral:miRNA from 1 species